rnacentral:rRNA from 1 species
AUUGAACGCUGGCGGCAGGCCUAACACAUGCAAGUCGAGCGAGCGGCGGACGGGUGAGUAAUGUCUGGGAAACUGCCCGAUGGAGGGGGAUAACUACUGGAAACGGUAGCUAAUACCGCAUACUAUCAGAUGUGCCCAGAUGGGAUUAGCUAGUAGGUGGGGUAAUGGCUCACCUAGGCGACGAUCCCUAGCUGGUCUGAGAGGAUGAUCAGACAAACUGGGAAUGAGACACGGCCCAGACUCAUACGGGAGGCAGCAGUGGGGAAUAUUGCACAAUGGGCGCAAGCCUGAUGCAGCCAUGCAGCGUGUAUGAAGAAGGACUUAGGGUUGUAAAGUACUUUCAGCGGGGAGGCGUUACGCGCAGAAGAAGCACCGGCUAACUCCGUGCCAGCAGCCGGGGUAAUUA